GAUGAACGCUGGCGGCGUGCCUAAUACAUGCAAGUCGAGCGAACAGACGAGGAGCUUGCUCCUCUGACGUUAGCGGCGGACGGGUGAGUAACACGUGGAUAACCUACCUAUAAGACUGGGAUAACUUCGGGAAACCGGAGCUAAUACCGGAUAAUAUAUUGAACCGCAUGGUUCAAUAGUGAAAGACGGUUUUGCUGUCACUUAUAGAUGGAUCCGCGCCGCAUUAGCUAGUUGGUAAGGUAACGGCUUACCAAGGCAACGAUGCGUAGCCGACCUGAGAGGGUGAUCGGCCACACUGGAACUGAGACAGGGUCCAGACUCCUACGGGAGGCAGCAGUAGGGAAUCUUCCGCAAUGGGCGAAAGCCUGACGGAGCAACGCCGCGUGAGUGAUGAAGGUCUUCGGAUCGUAAAACUCUGUUAUUAGGGAAGAACAAAUGUGUAAGUAACUAUGCACGUAUUGACGGUACCUAAUCAGAAAGCCACGGCUAACUACGUG
rnacentral:rRNA from 1 species